UUCAUCUGGAAGACAAGAGGAAGUUUGCUCAGACUGCUGUCAGUUCUGUCAUGAGAACUUUCCAAAAGCCCAUACAUGAUCAACCAGGAGCUGCCUAACACCUCUACAUUCACACUCCACAACUACGAAUGGACCAGAGGUCAAAAUCCUGAUGAAACCAACAUUUGGUACAGAGGGGAAGAGAUGAAUAUUAAUACCUACAAACACCCUAGCAAGAGGCCCUUGCUGGAAAUUCGGAAUGGCGACUUUGCCCACCCUUCUCGGGUGUGGUGAACACAGCAAAAACAGGGGCAGAGCACUACCUACCAUGAGCCCAGAAUACUGGCUAGAAGGCUCAGCUCCUCUAGGGGACAAGCCACCCAGCCUACCUGUGGCGUAGGUGGCUCUACUUUCCGUUUCUUCUUCUGGUUCUGCUUGUUGGUUCGAGGAUAUACCAUGAGCAUCUCUAACCACCUAGGACGACAGGACAAGAAAUAGUACUGGGUAAAUCCCUGACUCUGGGAAGCCUGGAUCUUAGAGCUGCUCCAUGUUGGCUGAUAUUUCUGUCAGAUACUUGAGGACCUGUGCCUGGAGGGAGUGACUCCUACAACUUCACUAUAAUCCUAAAUCAAGAUUAUCUUCCCACAAGGACCUCAGGUAUGUGGGGUACAUGGCGGGAGCUGUAGAACCACGAUAGGUAACUUCUUAUGCUCUAUCCAUUGUCAACACCAAGGAGCCUUGGCAGGGGAGUCAUCAAGAGGAACUCUUCUGCUAAGUUAGCGAGGGACUUGGGUGAGUUUGAGGAAGUAAGCCUGGGACUUUUAGUCACUGCUAAGCUUGCCAUGACUAAUGUCAGAGUUGUCAGGGCUGAGGCAUGAUGGAACAGGUCUAAAUUCCUAUCUCUUCCCUCCUCCCCCAUUUAAAACAACAAACCAGGUUCUUGUUAUGUAGCCUAGGCUGUCCGGGCUGUCCCGGAACUCCUGACUCUCCUCUUGCCUCAGUCUCCCAAAAGCUGGAAUUGUAGGCGUAUGCUACCACACUCAGCUACAUGUGAUUUUGUCAUGGAAGUCCAACAUACUUAGAUGUGUCAGAAACAUUAAGAAUAAUCCAGUGAAGAGAUGAGGGUCGGUUAGUACAUGUGAGGUUGGUGGGGACUCAUUUUCUCCAACUCCAGAAGGCAGAGCUGUCAGUGAGAAUGAGAGAAUGGGCAGAGCUAAUGACAGGGCAAGGAGAAGAGAAUGCUAGCCUCUGGCUGAGCCAGACAACGAAAAUGAGCCCCAACCAAUCCUUUAGAAAAGUUGUGUCAAAUAUGGUCCCAGCAGCCUGGAAGCCACUCAUGGGAUGAGGGAUGGAGGCUAGGUAUGUAGUAAUGUCCCUGCUCUACCUGCUUGGUCAAAGUAUCUUCUCCUUAGGAACUGGUUUUUGAUGUGACCAGAGCACAUAGGUCAACGGGGCCUGCAGUCCACAGAUGAAGAACCUUAAGCGCAUUAGAGAGGGCACUGAGAUUAGAGGAGACAGGGAAGUGAGGGUAAAACGCCUGUUUCUGGAACAUUUGUGUCAUGCCUGACUUCUUUGGUUACCAAAGAUCCCAGCAUGUGGGAAAGACUAAAGAAGCUGCUACUUGGGUCAGAAGAGGGGUUUCAAGAAUGAGGGGAGAAAAAGAGUUUCAGUUGAUUUUCUACAACUAUGGCCAUGACCUGCCAUGUAAGCUGUGGACCCCAAGAAGUACUAGCCUGCAUACAGGAUUUUGAAGCUACACAUGCCUCUGAUACCUUGGUCAGUUAAUGGUUAUUAAUAACCAUGUCUAUUUAGCAGGCCCCCAUGAUUAUGCUGACAGAACAGAUGACAGAGAAGUAACCAAGGGUAGUGGUUCAGAGUAGAGCCAGAACCUCAAGGUAGCUGUCAAAGGAUCAAUCAGUCAGAUGCUAAACAUCAUCUCUCUGAGCAGCAUGGCAUCACUGACCCAGUUCCAGAUACUCUCUGCUUGUCCUAGAGACCCAUGACUCCCUUUUCAGUCCCAACUGCCAUUCAGGCCCUCUCCUAGAUCUAAGUCUCGGAGGGUGAGGCUCCCUAGGAAACUCCACUUGGGACAUGUGUGCUAGAUCAGGCCAGGUAGCACCAGCUGCAGUCAGAAGUACAUACGGCCACUUAUACCUGACUGCUCCCUUACUCCUGACCCUCAGAUUCCUUGGUAUAGAGCAUGGGUUCAUUAGAAGUUCUAGAAACCCUUCAAUCUUGGGUUCUGGGUUAAACGCAGGAAGACACACAAAGUACUCCUUCAGGUUAUCCCUAGAAGCCUGGAAAGGAGAAUUCUCAGUUACCUACCAGAGGGUAGCGUAUCUCUUGGCCAGUACUGUCUGGCUUCCUGAAUAGCAACACUAGAAAUGCAACCAAAGGAUGCUAAAAGAAGACAAUGCUCCCAAUGGCCCUGUACUUGCUUAAACCAGAUGGCUUCAUGCCCUUACUUCCCUCUACUCUGUACCUACACCCCUCAACCUCAGACUGAUCGCUUCAAGAGCCUUGAUGAUACACCUGCCCACUUCCAGCCUUAUACGAUGAAUGGGUUUCAUUACUGAGGACAGAAAUCACAGGCAUGUAGAUCACCUGGAGGUUUCGGUGCUUCACAGGAUGUUUCUCAAAGUGGCUGCCUCACUGACUGAUACACAACCUGGAAAAGAGGGCUUAUUCUAUUUGAGGGGAAGGCAUGAGAAGCACUGUGUAGCUGAAUGUCAGUGAGGCACAGAGUGAGAAUGGGGUGUAAGUGUGGGGUGGGAGGAUAACCAACCAGUCAAGAGUUCUGAGGAAGACCUAGAAGCCCUGGAGUCCCCAGAAAUGGAUGAACAAACAGACAGUGCCUCCUGUGGCUCUGGCCAACUUACCCACUGAUGAUCUCCUUCGUUUCUGCCCUGAUAAAAUGUUCCUUGUCAGGUGUUAGGAUGCAGAGGGAGAACUUCUGCCCUGUGCGGGCCUCCCCAUCCACCACAUCUGUGCACUGGUUCAUGUUGAUGGUGCCCUGAGGAAGGGUGGUGGGCUGCAAGUACAAAGCAAGUCACUCAAAAGAGGUGAUGUCAGGUCCCACAGGCACCAACAGUAUCCACCCUUCUCCUUUAGUCCUCAGUCUUCACAGUACCACUUCCUACCCACCCACCUACGGUAGGGCAGACCAAGCUGGACUUGGGUAGAGAUACCAGCUGGACUUUACUUUCUAUCUGGAGAACAGUGUCCUAGUUUGCACUGGAGGAGGGGCAGGACAGUGAGAGAAUAGCUCAGUGAGGACUGCUGUGGAGAAUAGGCAGCCAAGAUCCUAGUCUCAGAUCUGUGAGGAAAAGUUUCUGAAAUAGUAGAUUCAAAAUAGAAAAAUAAUUAAGAAAAAAAAAAAGCCCUAAGGAGGUAGGUAAAACAGAGCCCCAUCUUUGAGCACUAGCUUUAACGCUGGGGAAUAAACUCGAAGGCUCGCACACCUGCCUGGGCUUUAAGGAGUCCUGCAGAGACUUCCUGGAGGGCAAAGGUCAACAUACAUGCACACAUGGAUGUACACACACAUCAUUUACAACACUGGAAUGUAUUAACACAGAUAUUCCGGGAAGGCAGAUGGCUGCAAUGUACCCUAUCAUGCCAGUUCCUUCACACUGCCAGAUCCUAUAGGGAAACACUGGCAUAAGCCUGCUCCAGAAGCCACAGGUGGGUGGACUUUGGGCAGACAGCAACUUCUCACCAAACUAUCCAAAACCUACUACUUGAUGGGCUUCCUUUCUUAGCACUAAAUGCUUAUGGCAGCAGUUGGACACUUGUGGUUGGCACCUUGUUUGAGAGCAGGGUAUGAGGCCUGGUACCCACAAUGAGCUUAGAAUCACCAUCUCAUGAGCUUUACCUGUCAAGUGCCUGUUAGGCAAGCCCUUUGUAGGCUCAUUCCAGUUAAGGUCAUCAGGCCAAUCAAAGCAUUCUAACUUGCUUGAUGCAGAUUCAGAGAGUUUGUUGUGGGUGGGGUGGGGCAGCACCAGAACAGUAGAGCUCUCACCCACACAAGUCCAUGCUCAAGAGCACACACCCUGAGGAAGGGUAUCAUGAGGGUCCAGCACAGCCUCGUAGCAUAGGCAGUUCUGCAACCAAGCAGCAGGUCUUCUCGGGGAGCAGUGGACAGAGACAGUAGUCUAAUGCUCCAUCUUGCCUAGAUCCAAAUCCUGCUCACUUUCUGGAUGGGGAGGCCCAGGGCAGGGUCCUAAUUUUCCUUGCCUCUUCUUUCCAGUGCCAGUCCCUUCUAGUCCACCCAAGUCUUAAUUACAGGCCCCUCUAGCAGUCUCCUAAACCUGCUUUGGGUAAACUGUCCUCUUCUAUACAGAAGCAAUGUUCUUCACCCAUGCACAAGACACAUCUUAUCUCUGAGACAGAAAACUAACGCUAUGGAGAUUGUGAGAACUGAGUGACAGAAGCUGUGCAGACAGCCAGGAGUGACCAGAUAAAAGUAACUGCAAAGGAUUCCUCCUCUUCUCUACUGCUGGAACUCUAUCCCUGACAACAAUGGCCAUGAUGGAUUUCAGACCUAUGUGACUAGAUGAUGAACUAUGACACUACAUCAUACAGAAAGAUGUUAAGUGACGAUGAUAAAACAUCAGAAUUCCUGGGGUUUUCUUCUCAAGGGAUUGGCCACCAGGCUGUUCAAGGACUCAGUGUCACAAAAGUGUUCAGGUUCCUUCAGCUCAGCUCUUCCCUUCUGCAGAGCAACAGUCAGUACUAGAAACUGGACAGUGAGCCGAAGACCCUGCCUUACAGCUGAGUAUAGCCAUGUCUCGGCCUUCAACCUCUCCACCUCCCUGACCUCAGCUCUAUUUCCUUUAGAAAAGGUUUCAAAAUGGUCAAUAAAAGGCAAAGAGAGCCAGGCGUAUAUGUUGGUGCGUAUCUGUAAUUCCAGAACUUGAGAAGUAGAGCCACAGAGCUGCUGAAAGUGGGGCCAACCAGGCUAGCCAGGGCUAGAUAAAAGACAAUAUCUGAAAAAACAAAACCAGAGAGACAAACUAAGCCAGGACAGAAGGAAAUUAACAUUCCUUUUUAAGUAGUGUUUUUGGUGCUCACCGCCCCAGUACUAACCAGAGGAGGCAUUAAUGGACCCUAUCACACACACAGGAAAGAACAACCAGAAAGAAAAUCUUACAAAACGAAGGGAUAACUAUGGCUCUAGAGCCCAAUCCACUCACAGGACUUCCCAUGAGAUGGGAACAAACUGUUGCCAAAUUAAGAUUUCUCACUCAUAGCUAAUUUCUCUUUAAUAGCAGCUUUAUUGAGACACAAUUUACAUCACACAACUUACCUGUUUACAGAGUACAGUUCAAUGGCUAUUCAGCAUUUACAGAACUGUACUAGACUCACCCCUACUAACCUCAGGCCUUAGCCAUCAUUUCCCUCUGUCUCCCUCCAAUCCCUCUGCCUCAUCACUCAUCCAAUACUUUAUCUAAAUGGAACCACAUGGUGUAAAAGCCCUUUGUGUCUGGAAGCUCCGCCUUCCUUCACCACACUCUGAAAGUUCAACAGAUCACUUUUGUCCAGGCUGAAUCCAUCAAUCAGACGAGCCCCAUUUUGCUUUCUCACUUUACCACCAAAUUACACCUGGGUUGUUUCCACUUGGAACUAGUAUAAAUAAAACUGCUAUGGGUACUCAUACUCAUGUUUGAAUGGCCUCAUACUCUCACAGCUCUCAGGUGGAUAGCUACAUGUGGAAUUGCUAGUUCAAAUGGGAACUAUAUGUUUAACUCCUUCAAAUGCAGCAGACUAUUUCCUACAGUGGCUGAAUCCUCUGACUUGACUUCCAUUCCAGCUGUGGAAAGCUCUGGAACUAAAACAAAACAAAGCAAGAGUAACCUCCCACUAUGCCUGGGUGUGGCACAGUAUACUUGGGCUCCCCUUACACUGUGUUUGAAACAGUGUUUCUUCAUUGUUCACCACUACAGGAACAAAGGAAGCUGGUUUUCAAGAUGUUAGUGAUUCCCCUAUCUCAUCCUAAGAGUGCUGGAUAGGUACUGCAACCUCCAGUUUUAUGUGGACUCUAGAGAUCUGAAUUCAAGUCUUCACACUUGUGGGGCAAGUGCAUUAUUCACUGGGCCAUCUCCCUCGCGCCACUCCACAUUGACUUCCUCCCUUUAACUGUCUUCUUUUUUAAUGGGAGUAACAUAAAUGGCAAAUUCUAUAAAGGCAUCAUAAUGAAAGCUAUUUUUCUUUUUUCAGAUUUUUAUAUUUAUUUAUUUAGUAUACUUGAGUGUGCACUCAUCUGUGAGCUCACCAAGGUCACAGCACAUGUGUGGAGGCCAAAGAGUAACCUUCAGGAGUUGGUUCUCUCCUUCCGCCAUGUGACCCUGGGAAUUGAACUCUGUCAUCAGGCUUGGUGUCAGGCACCUUUAUCCAUCUGAGCUACCUUGUGGCCCUUAUUUUUAAAAUUAGCUUCCAUCUGGUGUUUUCACACAUACUUAGUUUUUUUUUUUUUUUUUUUUUUGGUUCUUUUUUUUCGGAGCUGAGGACCGAACCCAGGGCCUUGCGCUUCCUAGGCAAGCGCUCUACCACUGAGCUAAAUCCCCAGCCCCCCAUACUUAGUUUUUGUUGAUUUUCAUGCACUCCCCUCCUCUCCCUGCCCUAUCUUCCUGGUGCCCUGUGCCCUAGUAUUUCUCCUGCAGCCUUGCUUUGCUGUUACCCCAUCCUUCCCCCAUAAUGAAUCUUUUUUUCUUAGUCUUACGUGCUUCCUUUCUAGUUUUCUGGCUUUUAUCCACAUUUCUCCAACCUGGACACACAUAUUUAGCAGUUAGAGCUGAGGAUCUGUACACAGGAGAGAAUCCUGAGGGUUCUGCCUUUCUAAGCCUGGGUCACCUCACUUAAAAGUAUUUUCCAUCCAGUUCUAUCCAUUUUCUUGAAAUUUUAUACUCUCAUUUUUCUUUACUGCUUAAUAAAAUUCUAUUUGUAUAUGUACCAGACUAUUCAUCCUGCUCUAGUGAGAAAGGCAAUCAAGAAAAUGGUAAUGAACACUGGUGAAGAUAUGGGGAGAGAACAGCAGUGCUGGGAGAGUGAGGACAGCCACUACAGAAAUGAAUGUGAAGGCCUCUCAGAAACUAAGAGCAGAACUUCCUAUGACCCAGCUACACCACUCCUAUGGAGGCACCCACAGAAUGAAUGUCUUCUACUACACAGAUAUCUGCAUGUCUCCAUUUAUCCCUGUUCUUUAUACAAUAGCAAGAAAAUGGAAUCAGCUGAGAUACUUGGCCUUAACUUGUAAAAUGAAUAGUUACCAUGUAAUUCCAACUACUACUCUUGGGCAGUAGGUCAGGUUUGCACUGACAAUCUGCUAAGAAAAGUUCUCUGUAACUCUCAACAGUGCUCUCAAAGGAACGGGUACUAAAUGUUAUACAGCAGCACUGGGAGUAGUGUUAUUCAUCCUAAAUGUAACCCAGGUUCAAGCUUUACCCCUACCCUCUUGCUGAAUAUGCCUACAGCCCCAAGAUGCGGGAAGCUCUGUUUUCCUCAUAUACCUCCUUAUAACCCUUUACAGACAGGAAGGAAGGAAGGACACUGAGAAGCUAAUACGCUAGGAAGUAGCUCUGCAGGAGUGGAACCCAAGUUCCAAAAGCAAGGCCAAAUAUUUAUGCUGUAACCUAAAUUCAGGCAGAAGAAGGUUAGUAACUCAGGUCUCCAAAGACAGAAUGCUUUACCUAGAUUUUGUGGUUUUUUGUUUUUGGCUUUUUUUUUUAAAAAAAAGAAAGAAAGAAAAGAGUGAUUUGACAUUUGACAGCCAGUGCUUCUAUAAGAUCAAUAAGAUUCUAUAAGAUCAAUUGCAAGCAGCCCUCCAGCUGCCUGGUCUCCAGUCCUCUUCUGGUUCCCAUACGGCCAGAGCUAGGUCAGCAGAGCUGUUACAAGCUGGUGGUCAUGUAAGAAGGAGGGUAGCAAACCAGAGGUGGGGGAGACAGGACAAGGGUUUCUCACCAAAGAUGGGGCAGAGUGUACUGAGAGCCUAGUUCUAUCCUCAGUCUUCUGCUAGUUGGCCUGAGUAUGCACUGCAUCCAGGAAACUGUCAGGGGCCAAGGUGACCCUUCUGGGUUUGAACAACUCUGCUGAAACAGUGUGGCUACUCAAAGACUUUCCACUAUAUCCCAGCAGGUAGACUUGGAGGAAAACCAGCCCAUGAACUGUUGAUCCCCUUUCUUCUAACCUGUCUGACCACUGAGAUUACAAGUGUGUGUGCACUACACUUGGCCCACCCUGUUUGUUAUUGAUCCUGGAGAGUUUAGGAGAGCCAGAAAAGAGGAAGAAAGAAAAUGGGAUGAGCUGCCAAGUGAGCUGGUUAGUACGGUAAGAGGUCUUUUUUUUUUUUUUUUUUAAACAAUUAGCUGCUAUUGUGGAACCAGAGGUACCUCAGAGGGCACAUGGUAGUUAUCAUCCUUCACUCAAAUGGGAAAGAAAACAAUCCUACAGAAACCCACUUUCCCCCUGGCGCAGAAUAUUACUUCCCAAAUCUGAAGGUCUAAAAGGGUUUGUCAGAGUGAAGCUUGACCCUACCCACUGCUGGAGGCCCCAGAAUGGAUUUUUCUUUUUUCUUUUUUAAUGAUUUAUUUUUAUUUUAUGUGCAUCCAUGUUUUGCCUGUAUGUAUCUCUGUGUGGGAGUGUCAGAUCCUCUAGAACUGAAGUUACAGACACAUGUAAGCUGCCAUGAAGCUACUGGGGACUGAACUUGAGUCCUCUAAAAGAGCAGCUGCGAUGAUAAUGAUGAUGAUACUGCCGCUGCCACCACCGAUCAUCAUCAGCAACUCUCCUUCUCUUCUUUUUAAAUUUAUUUUUUGUUCUCAAUACAUCCUGACUGUAGUUUCCCUUCCCUCCACAGCCAGUGUCAUUGAGAUCAGCAUGCAGCCUAUAACCUGGAGCCAGAUUCCAAAGUUCUUAGCACAACCGUGAAGACACCCAUCUCCUUCCCAUAGGGAAUAGCCACCUCUUUGAAUGUUAUUUGAAGCUAGCUAGUGGUUAGUAGUUAGUGUUCACACUGACCCCAAAAGGACCCACUAGACACAAUGCCUGGAGCUAUAGUGAGUGAGUCAUGGCACCGGCCAUAGGUUGCACAGUGUAGAGGGAAAGCGGGCAUACACAGCUGAAUAAUAUGCUUGCCCCAAGGAGUAAGUGACACUAUUAGGAGAUGUGGCCUUGUUGGAGGAAGUGUGUCAUCAUGGGGAUGGACCUUGAGACCCUCCUCCUAGCUAUCUGGAAGUCAGUUUCUCCUGUUGGCCUUUGAAACAAGAUAUAGAACUCUUAGCUCCUACCAUGCCAUGCUUGCCUGGAUGCUGCCAUGCUCCUGCCUUGAUGGUAAUGGACUGAACCUCUGAACUUGUAAGCCAGCCCCAACUAAAUGUUGUCCUUUAUAAAACUUGCAUUGAUCAUGGUGUCUGUUCACAGCAAUAAAACCCUAACUAAAACAGAGGCAAAAAAGCCAGACAUAGGAUAUCAAGACUCCUCCAGAUGCUAGUAACAUAGGAGCUAGAUUAGUCUAUGAAGUCCUAUGAAGAGUAGGCUCCGAGAGCAGAGGAACAGAUGAGCAAGUCCAUUCACCAAGGGUCUUUCCAUAAACAGUCGUGUUCCUCUAACUGUGAAGUAGCGUCAUCCAGUACAGGUGGAGGGAAGCCCUGGGAGAUUAAAGCAGCAUGCCAAAGCUGAUGCUGGCAACCAGCGCCAGGAGAGUAGCAAGAGCUGAACCACAAAAGCUCUGACCCUGAGGCCGAACAGGGAGAUGAGUCAGGCACAUCACAUAGACAGACCAAGUGCAGCAAAGGGGAGGGCCUCAAAAAAGAUUGCUACAAGAGUGGGGGGCAUAGCCUCAUCUACUAUGUGUUCUUGGGAUAAGCCUCCAAGCAAGCAGAAUAGGGUCAGGAGGGAGCAGCAUAUGUUAGAGAGAAUGGACUGUCACAGCAAGACACCCACCCAAGUUUGGAGAAGCAGGAAGGUAGGAAGGUAGGUCGUGCAGGCAGUCAGGUUACCAGUGCAUUCCACACAAAACCAAUCUCAAUUCUGCAGCUUAUUCUGUGAUUGCUCUGACAGGAACAAGGACUCACACGGAUGGCAGCCUGUAGCCUGCCCCACUGGCACAUGCGAUUCUCAUGAGCCACCCACAGACACAAGCAGAAAAGAGGUCCUAGUGUGUUGUAUGGGCUUCACUUCAGGAUGUCUUCCCUCCUUACAGUCUAGGCCCCUGUCCUGCCCCUGCCAGUCCUUCAAAGGAGCCUCUUUUCCUAGCCUAUUCAAGUAGCCAGGUCUAGAGCAACCUCUAUUUCCCUGAGUUUCUGGUACUGCUUUCUCUUCUAUUAUUAUUAUAAUUAUUAAUUUUAACAUUUAAAAAAGAUUUAUUUAUUAUAUAUAAGCACACUGUAGCUGUCCUCAGACAUACCAGAAGAGGGCAUCAGAUCUCAUUACAGAUGGUUGUGAGCCACCAUGUGGUUGCUGGGAAUUGAACUCAGGACCUCUGGAAGAGCAGUCAGUGCUCUUAACCGCUGAGCCAUUCCUCCAGCCCGACUUUAACAUUUAAAAGCUGUAAUGGUGAUGCAGGAUUCCUACAUACUCAUCACUGAGGUGGCUCUGUCGUCAACACCUUUCACGGGGUGGUGCAGGCAGCCAACCACUGCUUGCCAGGUCAACAGACUCCACGCUGAGUCUGCGGAGUUUUCGUCUAGCGUUCUAGAGCAAAUUAAUUGUCAUGGGACCUUAGGCUACUCUUGCUUGUGAUGGUUUCUCAAAAUUUCCUUCUAAUUUAUGGUCUUGACAGUUUCACAAAGGCUAGCCACAUAGUUUGAAGGCUAUUCCUUAGUUCGGGUGCCUGUUUUUCUCAUAACUCGAUUAUGGUUCUGGAUGCUAAGAAGGAAAGCCACUGAGGUAAAGCACACCUUUCAUUGUACCUGAUGAGACUGUAGGACUUCUCGCUGGUGUUGGUGGUUAUGUCUUGUGGUAAGCUAUGGCCCAGAUCUGAAGGAAAAUUACUAUAUACUAAAUAGUCUGCUUGGAGAGGAGAGGGACUGAUGACACAUGAUGACACAUGAGGGGAAAAUCUGCAUGGGUUAUUUGAAAUUCUUUUGCACAGAUUUUUUCUUUCCUAUUUGCUUAUUUCUUUAUCAAUCAAGUUAUAUCUGCGAAGACUGGUAGACAUUUAAGUCAUCCCCUGAUUAUAACCAAAAUACAAAAUUCAUUUUGUCCCUCAUAUUGUUCCAGCUUUAGGUACAGGAGCUUUUCCAGUGGCUCCUGUUUGACAUCAUAGUACUUCCUGGACAAGGUGCUCUAGGCUGAUCGAGUACAACAUUUGCCUGGCUCUAGAUCAGCCCCUCACAGAAGCCAGGGCCUUACCUGAAGAAGGACAUUAAAAACCCUGCUCAAGUGGUGGGAAUUCUCAUUGCUCAUAGGAUAUUUUGGCUUUUAGGCCCUCUUAGUUGCCCAAGAAAGAAAGGCACAAGCUGCUGGAAUCUGAAUACAAUCCUAUCUACUACUUUCUGUGUGUCUCUGAUGAUGUCUGUAUCAGACUAAGCACACUGAAGUCUUCAACACUACAUCAUGACUGCAUGGUCUAGCCUUUUCUCCCUUGGGCUCCAACAGUACUUCCUACCAACCACUGUCCAUUUACUUAUUAAAGCGUUCCAUCCCAGUCCAUGUGCAUGCACAUGUAGCUCUGUAAGAAAGAACUAUGUUCCCUAGGUGCUACACUCAUGCACGGCGCCUGCCUUCCAGCUUCCAGGCGCUGCUCAUUUCUGAAACACACUUGUAGUUAUAUCACUGUCUAGGAUCUCCUCCGGCCAACCAAAGAGCUUGCCACUGGCCUUGUACGUUUAAGAGGUCAAAGGGGCAUGAGAAUAUCAUUGUGUAAGAAUUUUAUACCUUUUACUAUGAGUUUUUGAGACACUUCCAAGACAUUUGGAUGAAAGAAGAAAAUAGGAGAGUAACAAAUGAAUUAGUGAGUUUUUCUGUUACUGUGACAAAAACCCUGAGGAUAUCUACUUGAAGGAAGAGAUUUUACUUUGACUCAAGAGUUUCAAUAUUUGGUUAGCUGGCUCAAUUGCUUGAAGUGAGGCAAAAUAUCACAAUGCUAUGGAAAGAGGGAGACAAUGAGGGAAGCCGGGAUAUAGUCUUCAAGCACAUGCCCAAAAGACCUGCUCCCUUCAGCUACAUCCUAUGCCUUUUAAAUUUCCAUGAACUCCCAAGAGACUGACCAUCAAAUUGUAACUGUAGUAAUAAGAGAAUCCAUGUUAUCAACCAAGCACUCAGCACAUGGCCUUGGGUGAGGCAUUUUAGAUUUAAACCAUGGUGUGCUGUCUUAAGACUGGGAUAGGUAGGAGGGAGAACUGACUGGAGGGAGGCAGAGACUGGCUGAUAUCCCAAGACUGAGAAAGAUGGUUUGCUAAAUCAAGCUAUAUGCACAGGGCUCAAUGUUUGCUGAAUGAUAGAACCAGCUAGAACUGAAAACAGAAACUCAGAGGCUGUGUCCCAUUUUCUGGGGUAAGACUAGAAUGUCAGGAGAGUAAAUGUCUCCUGUGGUGCUGAGACCCUGACCUCUCCUUGCUACCAUAGCAGGCUCUUCCUUAGACUGACCAUCCAGCUGUCUGAAGUCACUCACAGCUCUUAGACCCAAGAUGACCUGACAGAAGCAGAAGCAAAGAUGGGUUGAGAAUCUGAGAUGGACCACAGCUGUGCGGAGCUGGCAUGUUGUGUUUGAUGAAAUAGAAAGGGCUUCACAAGGGGCUUGGAACAACUAGGACCCCUAAAAUGCCUACCAGCUGCCACCGCCAGCACCACCACCACGUCCUCCUCCUCUUCCUCCUUCACAACAACAACAACAACAACAACAACAUGAAGCUUUAAUCUGAGGGACAGGAGGAAGGGGGUGCAGUAUGAUAUCUUCCUUAAAGAAGGCAUGAUACGACUUAGUGAAAAGGGCCAGAGACACAGAGAGGCAACAGCCAUGUCAGACAACUGCUCCCCCAACAGGACAGCAUCUAUUUUCAGAGAUGUGUGACAGAAGUGAUGUGGCCAGAACUGUGUGUGAUGAAAGGAGACAAAGUCUGAAAAUCUUUUACCUCUAGCAGCCUCUCAGUAAGGAGUAACCUAACUGAGACAAAGCCAGAGCAACCAGGUUCUGCCUGGUUCAAGCAUAGUGCCUAAUGAGCACGCUCUUCUCGAUGUAUCCAGUCAGUGAAUGCUUCUAGGCUAGGAUCAGUUGUGCACACCUGUCAUUCAGGUGUGGGAAGCUGAGGCAGGACUGUGAGUUCAAAGCUACUCUAGGUUAUACAGUGAGACCGUCACUUUUUUUUUUUUUUUUUUUUAAAUAAAAGGGCUGGGGAUGUGGCUCUGCCUUGUGCAUGUGAAGCCUGAGUAUAAUCAUCGGCACUGUAAAAAUAAGUAGACAAACAAACAUUCCUAAGAGGCCUUCCUUUUGGUGGAAGGAGUCCUAAAUGCUAUGAGAAUGACUGUUUUAAAGAUUAAACUAAAAAAAAAAAAGUCAAGUUGAGCUGAAAGGAAGCCCUGCCCAGGCCACAGAGUUACCAUUGUUGUCCUUGGGCAACCCCACACACUCACUAUUUUUCUUUGUAGGGUUUGAACUGGCCAGAAAUUGAGUUUCGUGCCUGAGCCUCCAACACAGCCACAGCUACAUGCCUCCCUAGGUAGCUCUAUGCAGGCUCUUCAUGAGCAGGUGCCUACAGCCGGAGGGGAGGGCAGCCCCUGGAGGAGGGCCUCCGCCAGUCUCAGAAGCAAUCUGUCCACCUGGGUGUGUGGACCUAGAGAAUGUGUCACUUCUACUAAGGUGCAGCACAGCUCUUAAAGGAGAUCAGUGGCCAGAGUAGUCACUGCAACCAUGAGCCCCAUGGUGAAGCUAUAUUAUUUAACAGUGUCCUCUUGCUACCUCAGCCAUUCCUAACAGGAAGGUCACAUGAGAUUGUAGCAGUAGCUGCACAGCUCCCUGCUCAGACACACAACACCAAAAGGUUGCUGUAGUUUCCACACGCUAGACUAUCCCCUCUCAGGGCCAAGAGCAACCACAACUGAGCAGGCAGAACUAACAAGUGCCACGUUGGGUCCCAGGCGAGGCUUAGGGAGAUGCUGCAGCUUAUAUGGGCAAGAUUCAACUCAGCAAAACUCUAUGACCACAACCUGUGUGGAACCAUACUUACUGUGUUUUACUAUGUAUUCACAAAGUGUUGUUCAUGUCUAACAUGUCAGGCAUAGAUAACCAUGGAAAUGCACCCCAGCACCUGGCUGUUGGCACCUUCUUUCUGCUCUCUGGACUUUAGCUUCUCUAAUUUAUAAGAUGAUUAUACUGAGGCCUAUUUCAGAAAGACUAAUAUGAAUCUAAUGUGAAUGUCUAUAGAACAUGGAAGACAUAACAAAUGCUAUAUGACUAUCAGGCAUAAAUAGUCUUCAGUAGCAUUUAGGUUUCCUCAAGAAGAAAUAGAGGGGUUAAAAAGCUUGCUCAGCCACCAGGAAAAUGUAAGUGAGAAUUACAGUGAGAGCCAACUGUUCUCACUCCUAUGGCUAUAAUGAGAAAGAUGGACACAAGCUGAACAUGACAAGGAUAUGCCUUGACAGGGCCCUCAUACUUUGCUGGUCAAAAUGAGAACUAAGGUAGCCACUGUGGGAAAGUGUAGUGACAACUUCAAAGGCUAAAUACAAUGACCCUAUGACCCAGCACUACCACUUUUAGACAUACAUUCAAUGAAACAGAAAGCAUGUCCACACAGAAAUGUGUAAUGUGACUGCUCACAAUAGCCUGAUUUAUAUGUGCUCAAGGGUGGGAUCACAGAUAUCCAUCAACAGAUGACUAGAUAAGUAAACUAUGGGACAUCUACACAAUGGACUAUUUUUCAGCAUUAAAAAUGUUUUAUCUGGGUGUGGCGACACAUGCCUAUAAUUGCUGCACUGGAGGCAGAAGCAGAUAGAGCUUUGUGAAGUAGGCCAACCUGGUCUACAGACUGAGUUCUAGGCCAGCCAGACUUAAUUGAAAAAAAAAAAAAAAAGUUGGGACUGAGGAAGAACAGGAAGUUGACUGCUAAAAGAAUAGGGUUUUCUUUGUAAUGAUGAAACAUUUUAAAUUGGCCACAAUGACAGUUUUCAAAUACACUAUUUGUAUAUAUAACCAAAUAUACUUAAAAAAUCAUUUAAGUGUUUACUUUAAAUGGGUGAGCUGUGUGAAUCAAAUUUUAAGACAAUUAUUACAACAAAAAGCAAAAUCCUUUUACCACCCAAGUCACACACAGAGCAGACUCAGGCCAAAAUGGUAUUUGCCUGUCAGCCUCCCUCUGCCUCUUGUCACGCCCCAGGACCUGUGCAUGGAGGCCUUUGUGUCUCUGAUAGUUUCAUGGAUCACAAUAUAAAAGUAUUCACACAGCCUGAGUUUGCUUGAGUUCUCACGCUUGCCACCCAGUCUUGUGCGUGUGCGGGCGUGCGUGCGUGCGUGCCUACUGCAUUGCAGUGCAUUAACAGUGGAGCUCCCAGCAAUGACUUGAUGGAUUAGCACUUCACACCAGUCUAGAGGUUUUAAGAAGCCACUUCUCCUACAGGUAGAAUGUUGGACCUAUUUUCUCCUCUGUAAAAAUAUAACCUUGCUCCUAAUCAUCUAUCUAGCAUGGAGGUGAGGAGGUAUGAGGACACACAUAUUCAACACACACUAGCUAUCCCAGCUAUCUUGGGGAUGGGCAGGGAUACACAGGUGACAUUCCCACCUCCUUAUUCCCCAAAAAGUCCAUGUGACUCUGAGGUUGGAUCUAUCCCAACUUCUAUGUCUUUGUUGCCACGAGUCCAAUCCACCUGUGGUUCUCUAAAGCACCACGUUUUUCCAGAGUGCCAACUGAGCCAGGCUGUACCUUGUACCUAAUACAAUGGCUCUAAGUCUGUCUCUCCUUAGGGAUCCUGUUUCCCAACAGAGUCAUCAAUUCCCUGGCGAUAGGAGAAGAUCCUCCUAUUUGCUAGGUCCUUUCUUAGACCCUGCUUAGAGACCUCUGAAUAAUUAAUAACAGAAAGGAACCUCCAUUUCACUUGAGAAGUCAAGGCCCUGGGUACUCUAUUCACCAGCCUGAGAGAAUGCUGGCCACACAAAAGUAGUUAAAAAUAAACAUCAGACACAAAAGCCACUGGUAACUACUUAGAGGAACAGAGACAUGAAGGGGAGGCCAAUAAUGUCCUCUGUCUCCUGAAAAACUGAUUUGUUGUGCUACAGCACAAACUUCAACUUUUUCUAUGCAAAAAGAGAAGGCAAGGCUGAGAAUGGAAGCAGGAAGUAAUCUGGGUAAACCCUAGUGCAUCUCCAAUGAGGCAGCUUACUAAAACAGGCUCCCACUCCCAUAUGCUGAGAGACAGCUUGAGCAUCUUUCUGAGUAGCACUUAGGGGCAAGACUUCUGUGCCCAGGGCUGAGGGCAGGGGGACCAAGUGAAAAGCUACCAGGUAUAUAAGCUGCUGAGACCAGCAAGAUGCCAGCCAUGGCCUCCUCCUUAGUACCACACUAGUAAGGUCAGUGAGGCAUCAACUAUGACCUCCUUCCUGGCACAUUAGUAAGACAAGUGAGGCACCCAGAGUCCCCUCCUCCUUAGCAUCAUAUUUGUCAUCAAAUUUAUCCCAGAUUCUUUCAAAAGUAUAUUCAGUCCACCUUUAAAGAUCCCAGGGCCAGGCAAGGAAAUGAUUCAGCUCACAGCCAUCUGAAGUAAAUGACCAACUCAUAGCCCAUCAUCUGUCCAUCAUACCUCCCUCCUAGGAGAUGAAAUCUGAGGGGUACAAAAGAGUGGCCAGGGAGUAUCUGGAGGUGAUGUGCCAGGUCUCCUAGUCUGUGAAUGACUGAGUUAUUGACGUGUACCACUCCAAAUACAUUUGCUCAGUACACAGUAUCAAGUUGUGGUCAAUAUCAAUUCAGAAACAUACGUGAUGGAAAUGGCCAUAAAAAGAAGACAUAAAGGAAGCUGAAGCACGGAGUAGCCAGCAGGACUGAGGAAGAGUUGUAUCUCUUCCUGUCCACAACAGCUCACCACAAGGGGCACUUAAGUAUCUACCCCAAAGUGGCCCACAGGUCUAAACACUCUGAAAAGAAGAGUCCUCUGGAACAAGUGCAUUCUCCAGGGUCAUUUGCAGGGUCCCAAGGCCCAAAGAGAGUUGAAUUACUCUGAGCUGCAGUGGUCAUGUUCUAGGAGCUAAAGUAGUCUCUUUAGCCUUUGGUUUUUCAAAUUCUCUAGCCAGAACUCUACUCUCAAUAAAUAAUAUAAAAAGAAUAGGGAACUAUAUACAUAACUGUUGCCUACACUACUGUCAAAUGUUUCUGAAGGUUUUUAUCUUUUAAAUAACAUGAACAGUAUUUUUAGUCGGACACAGCAUUGAUGAAAUCUUAAACAACUUCCUCACCAGUGAGCGGGCAUCACUGGAUCCUAGGCAAGAGAACUACUUUGCAAGGAACAAAGCCUUUCCUUUAGUCUAAUGGUCAAGCAAGCAUAGAAAGCAGGACACCUUGUUGGUUUGGCAUCCUUGUCUUCCCUUCAUCUCUUCAGAUGAAUGUUCAGAGAGGACAGGAAACAGGAUUCUGCUACAUUGUAGCUUACUGUCUCCACUCUUAACUGGCCAUCCUCAGUCUUCAUGGUGCAAAGGGAAAAGGACAGGUUUACUGAGUCACAAAGGCACCUCAGGGUAAGCAAACAGAAAGCAGAAUUGGAAUUUAACCCUCACAUAUCAACUGAAGUAUUUUCUGACAAUUGCCUGAAGGCAAACUAACUCAACUGAAAAAGCCCAGCCUGGAAUAAACUAGAAGACUGGUCUCUUCCCAGGCAUCUUGUGGUCCCCAAGACCUCCACUUCUAGCCAAAAUGGCUUGGGAGGUUGACGAUGCCAGCAAGGCACUCUGAGCAACCUAGAUCUCAAGUUAGAGUGCUUCUGGGACGGGGGACGCAGACUUCCAAGGUCGUCCAUGCCUGUGUCUGCCUAGCCAGCCUUCUGCCCAGGACCCUUGAGUGAUAGGGAAGAACUAACCUACAGCUACCAAGAACCACCCCAAGGAAGGUAUAUAUUACCCUAAGGAUAAGCGUCUACUCCGAUCUCUACUAGUGUGACAGCUGUCAAAGGACAGAAUGUGAUGCCUAGAAGGACUUUUCUUUUGAGUUGACCUGAACAAGUGAACCAAACAACGGCAGACUUUCUGGAGAAUUGAUCUUAUUUUUGUGUCUCAAAAAAAUGUGUCCAAUAAAUACCUUGACUUUAUAAUUGAGCAAAAUGACAAAAAAGUUUUUGUGCUUCUACCCUCCUACACACAACGGCUCCAAAUCCAAUAUAGUUUGACUUUUAUUUUCUUAAAUGGCCUAUAUAGAGAGGUGGGUCUGCUUCACUCUGUACAAGUUAAGUAGGAAUAUUGAAAGUUUAAAAAAAAAAAAGGAAGAAGAAGCAAGACAACAGAUGAGGAAAGGAAACUGAUUUUUCUCUUUCCAAAGAGAUACAGAAGAGAGAGAGAGAGAGAGAGAGAGAGAGAGAGAGAGAGAGAGAGAGGUGUCAGCUUGCUGAGUGCAGUUGUGUAUGUUGACACUUCUCUUCACCCCAAGUCUCUGCUGGAUCCUGAGGGCACAGGUCUGGCCUGCAAGGAAAAGGGAGAGGCAGCUAGUGGCUUUCAACCAACAGCUGAAUGCAGCUCUUCUGAGUUCUGAUGUGCAGAGCUCCCAUAUGAAGGGCUGUGACUUUGACAAGGCUAUUUUUGGAUUCCAAGUAGGAUGAAAAUAAGAUGUGCAGUACGGCCAGACACCUUACUGGGAAGCUCCUCAGGGCUCCUCUUACUCUAGCUCCUCCCUGCAUAGCUCCUCUGAGAAGGGAGCCGGCCCUUAUAUUUUCUUCCUCCCCUGGGCCCUUCUUCCCCUGUGCUUCGAGAAUGUGUGGGCCUCACCCACUUGUCUGUCUCACAGAGCUGGGAAACAUGGAGAUAAAUAAAGCCUCAAUUAGGCAGGAGUCCAAAGCUAGGAUUGGGGGUUGGGAAGAGUGCUGUCUGAGACUCUGUCCCAAUCCAGAAAUGCCUGAGAAAGCGCCCGGGGCCACAAGCAGCCUUGAGGUUGGACACUUCCCACAGCCCCCUUUGGCCUGUGCUGACCAGGCGUGGUCAAAGGCUGGGAGCCACGCCAUUCCCACAUGCAGCUCCUCUAGGCUGCCCAAGCCCUAGCUCCCUUUGCCAUCCCACAUAUACAAGGAGGAAGGAGUCUGGGCUAUUGGCCCUUCCAUUCCUUUCCUUGUGAGAGAGAGGGACUACAGAGUGAUGGCUUGUCCCCAGCAGGGAUGGCUUCAGAUGCUGUGGCGCCCCUCCAGGCCCGACAAAGGCAGUUUUCCCCCCUUUCAACUUUGGAAACUCAGUGUUCUUAUUUAUUCCUUUCUGAGCUUGGAAAGAACAAUGAGAGGGAGAUCUUGUUUCUUCCCCUAAGUCUUGGGUGGGGGGAGAGUAGCAGCAUAUGGGGGAGGAGACUGGGCCAGCAGAAGCUCACAGAUAUUUUUAGAGACAUGGGAAUUAAGUAAGCCUGAGACAGCUUUGUUUUCAUCCAAAAGGCCAAGUGGGUGGGGUGGAGUCAGAGCUGAAGGCAGAGAACAGCAAAGAUUCUGGAGACUGUGAGAGACGGAGCAGUCUCUCCUCCGUGCUGUGGUCUAUUCCACUUUCCUUUACCAAGGGAUAAGUAGCCUGUGUGCCUGCACCCAGACUCCCUUUUAGCUCAGGGGACAGCAAAGUGGCAAGGGGCAGCAAACUUUGAUCCUGCUUCUGACGUGGGAGAAGCAUAAAAUCCAAAAUGAGAUUUCUGAGUUGUCUUUUGGCUUCUAAUAACUGUUCUUGAAGAUCAAAGCCAUGGUACCAAACAUCUUUUAGAGGCCUCACUCAAAAAGCCUGCCACUAUAGUUUGGGAUAGGAUACAGAGAAAUGAAAAAGGGAGAAGCUAGGGAGACCCAGCCAGUUAGCUGAUAUCAUGCAAUGCUACUGAAGAAUUAACUACUGAUAGGCUCAAAACUUACUCAUUUCCACACCAGCAAUCCUACUUCCAAGAAUAUUCUCUGAGGCUCUCAUUUUUUUUUCUUUUUAUUUAUUCUUCUUUCAUACAGUACAUCCCAACUGCAGUUUCUCCCCGCCCCCUCCUUAUUACCCAGACUCACCCCGGCUGGCUCCAUCUCCCUUCAGCAAAGAGCAAGCCUUCAAGGGACAUUAACCAAAUAUGGCAUAACAAGCUACAGUAAGAAAGACCAGGCACAUUAUCAAGCUGGAUAAGGCAACUCAGAUGGAGAAAAAGGGUGCCAAAGGCAGGCAGCAGAACCAGAGACAGGCCCCACUCCCACUGUUAGGAAUCCCACAAGAAUAUCUAGCUACACGACCAUAGCAAAUCUGCAGAGGACUUAGGUCAGACCCAUAUAGGAUCCCUGAUCUCUAUGAGCCUACUUGAGUCCUAGUCAGUUGAUUCUGUGGACCAAGUUCUUGUGGCGUCGUUGAUCUCAGACGUACAUUUAAACAAACAAACAAACAAACAAACAAAGAAACCAGCCUGGAAACAAGUUGAGAGAGAGUGUAAGAACCAUGAGCAAACCUGAUGGAUGCAACGGUGAAUGAAGAUAAUAUAUAUAGGAUAAAACAGGAAACUGCAGAAUAGAACAUUUUAAAAAGUUACAAGGUUAAAUACUUAACGAAUCUUACUUUUUGGCCUCAGGAAUGUACACAUCUGUGUGCCCGACAGUUCACAGACUCUGUACGAACUGUUAUCCCCAAGUGGUAAGUCUUACCAAGCAACUUUGUUUUCAGCUUCCCCAACUUCCACCAUGACCGAUCUGACUUCUGUCACUAGGGGAAGCCCUGCUCUCUAGCCACUCUGGUCUGGGCAGUGCCAUCUUUCAUGAGACACUGGUCCUGCUGAGAAGUCUCCAUCUUCACAGUCCAGAUUAUUCUUCACCUGCUCCUACCUGGGAAGCUAUAGAGCUUACUGGCUGGCUGACUGGUUGGUUCCUGCUACAGGUAAACAGAGGGCAAGUGUGUCUUUCCUGUUCACCUCUUGCAGCUUACAUACCUCAGGACAGCUGACUCUGUUUCUCUGGCUAGACUAAGAACCUGGAAAAGCAAGGACCCUAUUUCAUCUUUAUUUUCCCAACUUUAUGUUUCAAGGCACAGAGCAAAGCAGCACUGUAUGUAUGAAGGAACAAGGUCAAUCUCUGACAGUUUCCCAAGGCUACAUAUAAGUAGAGCCCUCAGGAAAACAGGUGAGACAAAGAAAAAGAUACCAGUGCUCUACGGCCCUGGAAUGAGGACAGGCCUAAGCCCAGGUUUCUGCUGUUAUUUCUCAGUUAUUGGAGUAUCAGUAGCAGAACCUGUCCAGGCCACCACAAGGGUAUUAUUGUUAAUCCCCAGUAGGUGAACGGGCUCUUUAGUAAAAGGGCUCAUUCAUCAGAGGAGAUUAGAUAAACUGCCUCCUCCAACAGCAAGUAACCCCUGGGUUUUUAAUGAGGAGGACUUGCAAUUUUAACUGAAGCAAGGAACAGCAAGGUACAUUUAAUUCAGGAUGCAAAAAAAAAAAAAAAUGCAGAGAUCACUACUACAUUUACAUAUUCAUACAUACUAACA